GGCGCACGGGUGAGUAACGCGUAUCCAACCUUCCCGCUGCAGGGGGAUAACCCGGUGAAAGCCGGACUAAUACCCCAUAAUCCCCGUUGACGGCAUCCGAUUCGGGGCAAAGUUAUAUUUCGGCAGCGGAUGGGGAUGCGUCCGAUUAGUUUGUUGGUGAGGUAACGGCUCACCAAGGCUUUGAUCGGUAGGGGUUCUGAGAGGAAGGUCCCCCACAUUGGGACUGAGACACGGCCCAAACUCC
rnacentral:rRNA from 1 species